rnacentral:rRNA from 1 species
GACAGAGGCCUCAAGCGUUAGGCGGAAUCACUGGGCUUAAAGCGUGUGUAGGCGGAUCGUUAAGUGGUCUUGUGAAAUCCCACGGCUCACCCGUGGAACUGCUGGGCAUACGUGGCGAUCGUUGGGCCAACUAGGGGCAACUGGAACAAGCGGUGGAGCGGUGAAAUGCGUAGAUAUCGCUUGGAACGCCAAAGGUGAAAACAGGUUGCUGGGGUUGUGCCGACGCUGAG